GACGAACGCUGGCGGCGUGCUUAACACAUGCAAGUCGAACGGACAGGCCCUGCUUUUGUGGGUUGCUCGAGUGGCGAACGGGUGAGUAACACGUGAGUAACCUGCCCUUGACUUUGGGAUAACUUCAGGAAACUGGGGCUAAUACCGGAUAGGAGCUCCUGCUGCAUGGUGGGGGUUGGAAAGUUUCGGCGGUUGGGGAUGGACUCGCGGCUUAUCAGCUUGUUGGUGGGGUAGUGGCUUACCAAGGCUUUGACGGGUAGCCGGCCUGAGAGGGUGACCGGCCACAUUGGGACUGGGAUACGGCCCAGACUCCUACGGGAGGCAGCAGUGGGGAAUAUUGCACAAUGGGCGGAAGCCUGAUGCAGCAACGCCGCGUGCGGGAUGACGGCCUUCGGGUUGUAAACCGCUUUCGCCUGUGACGAAGCGUGAGUGACGGUAAUGGGUAAAGAAGCACCGGCUAACUACGU
rnacentral:rRNA from 1 species